AGUGAACGCUGGCGGUAUGCCUAACACAUGCAAGUCGAACGGCAGCACAGUAAGAGCUUGCUCUUACGGGUGUCGAGUGGCGGACGGGUGAGGAAUACAUCGGAAUCUACUUUUUCGUGGGGGAUGACGUAGGGAAACUUACGCUAAUACCGCAUACGACCUACGGGUGAAAGCAGGGGAUCUUCGGACCUUGUGCGAUGGAAUGAGCCUAGGUCGGAUUAGCUAGUUGGCGGGGUAAAGGCCCAACAAGGCGACGAUCCGUAGAUGGUCUGAGCGGAUGGUCAGCCACACUGGAACUGAGACAGGGCCGCGACUCCUACGGGAGGAAGCAGUGGAGAAUAUUGGACAAUGGGCGCAAGCCUGAUACAGCCAUACCGCGUGGGUGAAGAAGGCCUUCGGGUUGUAAAGCCCUUUUGUUGGGAAAGAAAAGCAGCAGGUUAAUACCCCGCUGUUCUGACGGUACCCAAAGAAUAAGCACCGGCUAACUUUGUG
rnacentral:rRNA from 1 species